AUGACUGAUUUUAUAACUAAAAAACAAACAAAACAUAGGAGUGGACCACAUACAUUUGCAUUAUUAAAGUCAGAUUAAAGUACAUUUGUGUUUGUAAUUUAAACAGAAUUCCACACAGUGGUAAUGUGGUGAAAGUGUAUAUUACCAAAGAUAACUGUACUCAAAGUUGAGGGUAUUUUAUUUUAUUUUUCUCCCUGCAGUGAGAUCUUCCCUUAUCUGGUGGUGGUAAUCGGGCUGGAGAACGUCUUGGUGCUCACCAAGUCUGUGGUUUCCACCCCUGUCGACCUCGAGGUCAAACUGCGCAUAGCUCAAGGCCUUAGUAAUGAGAGCUGGUCUAUCAUGAAGAAUAUGGCCACUGAGCUGUGUAUUAUCCUCAUUGGAUAUUUCACUCUUGUGCCAGCUAUCCAGGAAUUCUGUUUAUUUGCUGUUGUGGGGCUGGUGUCUGACUUCUUCCUGCAGAUGUUUUUCUUCACCACUGUACUAUCUAUAGACAUUCGCCGCAUGGAGCUGGCUGACCUGAACCGCCGCCUGCCAGCUGAAGCAGGUAUGCCUCCA